CAACCCUCAGGCCCCCCGGGGACUGGUGUUGGGGAUCGGCCCGCCCUGGCGCGGCGCCGUCCCCGAAAUACAGUGGCGGUCUCGCUGCAGCCUCCCCUGCGUAGUAGCACACCUCGCAUUGGAGAGCGGCGCGGCCACGCCGUGAAACCCCAACUUCUGAU
rnacentral:misc_RNA from 1 species